CCUCCUCUCCCACACAAAACGCAUCCACCGCCAAACUGUGGAGAUGCCAGCGACCGCCGUCAUUGUCACAGAUCAGCACGACGCGACCGUCGCGGAUCAUCAGAACACCGCCUACUCCACUACCAACACCGACGGCUCAAAUACAUCACGGAUCACCAGGUCGCUACUAUUGCGGAUCACGAGGAUGCAGCUGUCACGGAAUUGGAACACCGGGACACCGUCGGCGCCUCAGAUACCCACAUGUUGUAGACGCCACAUAUCCGCACGAACAACGUAUACGGCGGCAAAAAGUGCAGGGCAUCCUCACUCAAUAGCUAAAUCAUGACAAACAAAUCUCAUUAGGAGAACAUUAUGUAUGGAAGGACGCGACCAUCGCGGCCGCUGCCUCCACUCCCACACGAAUCAACAGGACGUGGCCAUCGCGGAUCAUCAGAACUAUACACUGUGGAUCAACAGUACGGCGACGCCGACUCCACUUCCAUCACUAGUGCCUAGGAUACGUCGCGGAUCACCAGGAAUUGUCCAUCACGGAUUUGGAACACCAGGACGCCGCCGCCGCCGGUGCCACGGAUACUCACACGCCACAAACACCACAGAUCUGCAUGAACGAUGCAUAGUGCGACGAAAAGUGCACGGAGUCCUCGCUCAACUGCUAUGUUGAAGGCACGUACUUGAUAUGACUCGGUCGUAUCUAGAAUUUUUGAUUGCUUCAUGCCAAUAUGCUACAACUUUCAUGUACUUUUGGCAAUAUUUUAUAUUAUUUUUGGGACUAACUUGCUUAUCUAGAGCCCGGUGCCAC
rnacentral:lncRNA from 1 species